UUCUUUGCUGACGAGUGGCGGACGGGUGAGUAAUGUCUGGGAAACUGCCUGAUGGAGGGGGAUAACUACUGGAAACGGUAGCUAAUACCGCAUAACGUCGCAAGACCAAAGAGGGGGACCUUCGGGCCUCUUGCCAUCGGAUGUGCCCAGAUGGGAUUAGCUAGUAGGUGGGGUAACGGCUCACCUAGGCGACGAUCCCUAGCUGGUCUGAGAGGAUGACCAGCCACACUGGAACUGAGACACGGUCCAGACUCCUACGGGAGGCAGCAGUGGGGAAUAUUGCACAAUGGGCGCAAGCCUGAUGCAGCCAUGCCGCGUGUAUGAAGAAGGCCUUCGGGUUGUAAAGUACUUUCAGCGGGGAGGAAGGGAGUAAAGUUAAUACCUUUGCUCAUUGACGUUACCCGCAGAAGAAGCACCGGCUAACUCCGUGCCAGCAGCCGCGGUAAUACGGAGGGUGCAAGCGUUAAUCGGAAUUACUGGGCGUAAAGCGCACGCAGGC
rnacentral:rRNA from 1 species